rnacentral:ncRNA from 1 species
GUUCAAACAAGGAAGGGCUUACGGUGGAUACCUAGGCACCCAGAGACAAGGAAGGGCGUGGUAAGCGACGAAAUGCUUCGGGGAGUUGAAAAUGAGCAUAGAUCCAGAGAUUCCCAAAUAGGUUAACCUUUUUAACUGCUGCUGAAUGCAUGGGCAUGCAAGAGACAACCUGGAAAACUGAAACAUCUUAGUAGCCAGAGGAAUAGAAAGAAAAAGCGAUUCCCGUAGUAGUGGCGAGCGAAAUGGGAGCAGCCUAAACCAUGAAAAUGGGGUUGUGGGAGAGCACAAUAUAAGCUCUGUGAUGCUAGGCAAAGCAGUUGAGUCCUGCACCCUAGAUGGUGAGAGUCCAGUAGCCAAAAGCAUCAUUGGGUUAUGCUCUAACCUGAGUAGCAUGGGGCACAUGGAAUCCCAUGUGAAUCAGCAA